GGCUGGUCCAAAUGCAAUGGUGUUUACAACUAAUUGAUCAUAACAAGCUACAGAUUUCUUUAUUCCUUCUCUACUUCUAGUGCUUCCCGUGACUUACCUUUA
ensembl:misc_RNA Y_RNA Y RNA